AAUGAACGCUGGCGGCGCGCCUAAUACAUGCAAGUCGAGCGAGAAGACGUAGCAAUACGUUUGUAAAGCGGCGAACGGGUGAGGAAUACAUGGGUAACCUACCCUCGAGUGGGGAAUAACUAGCCGAAAGGUUAGCUAAUACCGCGUACGCUCCUUGGACUUUGGUUCAGGGAGGAAAGCGAUACCGUGGGUAUCGCGCUCUUGGUUGGGCUCAUGUCCUAUCAGCUUGUUGGUGAGGAACGGCUCACCAAGGCUUCGACGGGUAGCUGGUCUGAGAGGACGAUCAGCCACACUGGCACUGCGACACGGGCCAGACUCCUACGGGAGGCAGCAGUAAGGAAUAUUGCGCAAUGGGCGAAAGCCUGACGCAGCGACGCCGCGUGGGGGAUGAAGGUCUUCGGAUUGUAAACCCCUUUCGGGAGGGAAGAUGGAACGAGCAAUCGUUCGGACGGUACCUCCAGAAGCAGCCACGGCUAACUUCGUGCCA
rnacentral:rRNA from 1 species